GACCCGACUCUGUGCCUGGCAGUCUAAGGGCUUCGGCUCUCACCUCCUAGUCCCUAGCCGGCCAGCCCCCGCUCGCCCCUCCUCUUCCUCCUCCUCCUCCUCCCACCUCGGCUCCAGAAAACCCUGGGCGUGAUGGGUACUUUACUGGGUAAGAGGAGACGGGUGCCCCCCACCCACUCCUCCCGGCCGCGCGGACCUCUCCCGCUCAGACCUGCAUCUGCAUUCCUUUGAGUUUACCACGGACUUGGGGCGGGAUCAAAGGGAAAGUGGCCUGAGCCUGUUUCAUCAAGGGGUUGUGGACCGAAACCAAGGCCGGGGGUGGCGGAGGGCACGCGGAUGAGGGGCUCAGGCCUAGGAAGGGCCGGUCCUGGACACCGCGCCCUCCCCUGCAGCCAGGCGCCGAGGCCUGCAGCACCCGGAGCGCCGCACUGACCCGCGAUUCUGCCCGAAGGCCGGCCCGGGUGCGCCCCGGCGCGGGGAGACACCAACAAGGCCAGCUUUUCCACGAGAGGCUGCUUAGCUCUUGUGACCAUAUUUGGUCUGGCGAGGAGGCAUCUUGGCUGCCUGGCUCUCAAUUGUCUGCUAGAGCACAGACGGUGCCCAGAAAGUGCCUCUGUCACUGGAGAUGCGGCUUCGCCAACGGGCUUGAGUGCAAUAGCUCCAUCUCAGCUCACUGCAACCUCCGCCUCCCGGGUUCAAACGAUUCUCCUGCCUCUGCCUCCCAAGUAGCUAGGAUUAAGACGCCUGCCACCACGCCCAGCUAAUUUUUGUAUUUUUUAAAAGCAAAAAUGGGGUUUCACCAUGUUGGCCAGGCUGGUCUCAAAUCCUGACUUCAGGUGAUCCGCCCGCCUCAGGCUCCCAAAGUGCUGGGAUUACAGGCAUGAGCCACCGCGCCCAGCCUGCCUUAAUAUUUUUACAGGGUAAAAUAAAGUCGAAGUUAAAAUCUGGAGCUGCCUUGGAGGAGAAAAGUUUAAGGAAAAGACAAGGCCACUCAUAGUUUUGCCUCGGAAAAGGUAGAAUUUUGGGGCCACUCCCUGAAUGGCUGCAUCCAUAUCCAAAACAGAACCACCAAAGUGAGCCACUUCCCCUGUUAUCUGUACUUGGAGGUGGCUCCAAUUCCAGACUCCUCAUAGACUGGAAGAAAUUAGGGCCAUCUUAGACUAAGGCAGGCAUACACGUAUCAUCCUUUUUUUUUUUUUUUUGAGAUGGAGUCUCACUCUAUUGCCCAGGAUGGAGUGCAGUGGCAUGAUCGCGGCUCACUGCAACCUCUGCCUCCCUGGUUCAAGCAAUUAUCCUGCCUCAGCCUCCCGAGUAGCUGGGAUUCUGUGCAGCAAGUCCUCUGCCCAUAGGACUGGCAAAAGGAAAGGGGAAACUAGCACAGGUCACUCCUUGGAAAGUAGAAUCUUUGCAAGCUACUCUCAGAAGCCAUCACAGUUGCAACAACAGGGGAAAUAAGCUAUCGAACAAGAGGAAGUGACUGGAACCUAAUGAUACUAAUUCAGAAGUCACAAGGCUGACUUGAUGAUUAAAAGAUGAAAACUUGAGGCCAGCCCUACUCUAGGAAAGUCCUCACUCCCGAAGAAAGGAGACCUGAGCCACUAAGUAAGAAGUCCAGUUACCCUGUUGGAUAAACCACAUGGAGAAGGAAAGGCCCUGAGAUACUUGGAGAGAGGGAAAAGUCCAGCUGCCCAGCACCUGAGCUGAGCCCAGCCUCAGCCAACCCCACCGGCUGACUGCAAACACAUCAGUGACCACCAGUAAGACCAGCAGAGCUGCACAGCCAAGCCCAGCCCAGAUUGCAGAAUUGUGAGCAAAUAAAAUGGAUAUUGCUUUAAGCCACAAAAUAUUGAAAUGUUUUUUAAAUGUAGAAUGUGCAUUCUAAGAAUAAAAAGUUGCAAAU
rnacentral:lncRNA from 1 species